CAGCCCUAGGCCGGGAGAGGAGAUACGGGGAGAGAGGAGGCUCUGAGAGCGGCGGUGGCUCAGCCCAGCUCCUUCCCUGCUCAGGACACACCACUCCACUGCUGGCAUUACUGCCUGGAGUAUCCCAGCUGGGAUAACAGCUGCUCAUGGAUGCUGCCCUGAGCUCCUCCU